rnacentral:rRNA from 1 species
AACGAACGCUGGCGGCAUGCCUAACACAUGCAAGUCGAACGAAACCUCCGGAUCUAUUUGCGCACGGUUUCGUCACGCGUGGGAACCUGCCCUUGGGUUCGGAAUAACUCCCCGAAUGGGGUGCUAAUACCGGAUAAGAUCUUCUAACCAAAAAUUUAUCGCCGUUGGAUGGUCCCGAGUUGGAUUAGCUAGUUGGUAGGGUAAUAGCCUACCAAGGCGACGAUCCAUAGAUUGUCUGAGAGGAAGAGCAGCAACUCUGGGACUAAGACACGGCAGAGAAUCUUACGCAAGGGGGGAGUGCCGAAUAUUGCAACACCGGGGGAGGCAUGAAGAAGUUCGGAUGGGUGAGCGAUGAAGGUAUGAGAGAUGUAAAGCUCUUUUAACCGGGCUGAUAAUGACAGUACCGGGAGAAUAAGCUCCGGCUAACUACGUG